rnacentral:rRNA from 1 species
UUGCUGUGGUAUUUUGACUAUACAAAGGUAUUGUAAUAAGAUUUUAAUUGAAUGCUAAAAGAAUGGAUUAACAGAUAAAUACUUUCUUUAAUUUAAAAAUUAAAUUUAUUAUUUUUUGUGCAGAAACAAAAAUAAAAAUUAAGGACAAGAAGACCCUAAGAAUUUUAAUUUGAUUUAAAUAAUUUAUAUUUCUUAAUCAAAUUUAAUUGGGGCGAUUGAAAAAUAUUUUUAACUUUUUUUUAAAAAAAAUAUGAACCAUUAAUAAUGGUAAUAUGAAAAAAUACUCUAGGGAUAACAGCGUAAUAAUUUUUGAUAGUUCAUAUAGACAAAAUAGUUUGCGACCUCGAUGUUGGAUUAGGAUUCUAAUUUAAUGAAGAAGUUAAAUUAAGAAGUUUGUUCAACUUUUAAAUUCCUACUUG